rnacentral:lncRNA from 1 species
AAGACUCCAAUCCAAUGAGAUGCGGUAAAACAGCUGCACUGACAGAUGACAACAGCCAAGAAGCUAAAGCACAAUCUUGCUGUUGAAAUCUUGAAAACGCAAGAUUAUCCUGAAGACUUCCAUCUUCACUCAGAACCUGUCAAGGAGGGGGAGUCGUACUGGAAUCAAGAAACUGUUGUAGAUUGUGAGUUUUAACAGCCAAAAUCACCUGCUGACGCCAUAGCAGGUAAUUAGUAUCAUCAAGCAAAAUAUUAAUCUUCUUGACAGCAACAAAUCGACUGUCAACAACAGCUUCAGAGAUAUGAGAAGCCAUUCCAGGCGUAUCAGAAUGCACAGGAGACGGACUAGUAGGAAAAGCCAUAAGAACACAGGCCCUCAAGGAUCUACCAAAAAAGAAAUAAAAUUUGAUACCAUGUUAUGAUAUUCAAAAGAAGUAUUUUUAUUAUUGAACCCGUAUCAACAUACUUACAGUACUCAUAUUUAUAGUAGUUGGCUUAUAUCAGACUAACCAUCUAACUAACUAUUAACAACUGAUAACUAACUAACUGUUAAUUAGUUAUACUAACAGUUCAUCCCUACCCUGAUUAGCCUCGUCCUCAGUAAAUGUUAAUCGGGAAAACAAGUUAUUAAUAUCUUCAGCCAUUGUAGAAACCUAUGACCACAACCAACCGACCAAAGAAAGCAAAGAUACCCAAAGUUAAGACCACCAAAACCAGGAGGAGCAGCCAUGCGAGCAAGAAAACACAACCUUUAAAACACACUCCGGCACAAGCAAUACACCACCCAGAACCAGAACACAAGGCAAAACAAAAAUGAAAAGAACCAUAAAAUAUUUUCACAAGUAACUCAAAAAUUACAAAUCACCAAACGAAACGAAGCCAGAGAAACCAGGAUCAAAUCCAUCAAAACAAAAACAAGACAGGAAAAUCAACAGCCAUUAAAUCCAAAAGAAGUAAAACAAAAAAUCAGAAUAACAAAACCCAAUUAAACAGUCCUUUUACGACCUAGGAAAACAAACUAAACUUACAAAGGACAAAGAAAACAAAAUAAAAAAGAAGAAUCAAAAGAAAAACCUCUAGUAAAACUUUGUAGGCAGAU